UAGUCAGGCUAGAUAACCAGCAGCUGCGUGCGUGCUGAUGACGUCAUCCUACGCUACAGUAUAUAAGUGAGGUGAUAACACAGUCUGGCAGACAACACUGGUCACUGCUCUAGUGAUAACAGCUCACACUCACUCUCACGUAUCUCGGCAUUUAGUCAAAAUGACACUGAGCAUGUCAACUCGGCUGGUGCGUGGCGGCAGCGCUGUACAGCGUACUUACUGGCGGGCUUCUCCCUCCAGCAACAGCUCCCCUAAACUUGUCAAACACGGCAGAGUCCUCAACUUCGGCCCCGACAAGCUCCCGCCCUCGCAGUCCAUCCUUCUGCAGCAGAAGGAUGUCUGGAGGCCUUCCUCCAGCUCGUAACUUCGAUGUCAGGUUACGAGAUUUUGUGGAGUGCCUCGUCACUGAAAGUCUCUCUAUGGGCGACCAGUUUCGAGUAGUCUACAAAUGUAUUUGAAUAUUAUAUAUUCGGGAAUAUUUAUAACUUAAUUUAUAUUUUAUAUUUUUUAAUACUUUCUCCUACAUUUCUACAUAUGUGUAGUUGUAGAAAAUAAAUAGAUUUUAUCAUUCUA